AUGGCGAUGGCGAAGCUGCGUCGUCUCGUGCGAGGACCCCGCACCGUCCGCGAGGACCGCCUCAGCGCCCUCUCCGACGACCUGCUCCGCCUCAUAGUGAGCAGGCUGGAGGACACCCGCACUGCGCUCUCGACCGCCGUCCUCUCCCGGCGAUGGGCGCAUAUCCCCCGCGAGCUGCCGGCGCUGGACUUGAAGGUGGGCGACAUACUCCCGCCGGAGUACAACCAGACCAUCGACCUUCGCGAGCGUAACUUGCCGGGUGACACGGGGAGCCUGGACGGUCUCAUGGCGCACUGGGAGCUCCGCAGCACGAGGACGUUCACCGACAGCAUCGCUAGCCUCGUGGCAGCGGGCGGUAGUAGCGACGGCGACGCACGCCGGCGCGCCAAGACCCUCCGGCUCGAGUUUUUCUCCGCGAACGACGGCGGCUGCAUCGAUCGCCUGGUCGCCGCCGCCGUCGGCGCGUGGGGGGUGGACGAUCUGGAGAUCGUCGCCAGGCCAGCGUCCUCCUGCCAUCAUGAAGGUAACGCGCCAGCCCACCGCUUCCCCCACGACCUCCUCGACGACGGCGGCAGGUCACGCCUCCGCAGCCUGACUCUGGGCAACUGCACGCUCCCGCCGCUGCACACCUACGAGGCGCUCACCACGCUCGUCUUGCAAGACGUGGCCGCGUCCACGCCCGUCGCCGUGUACGAGAGGCUGUUCACCGACUGCACACGGCUUGAGGUGCUGCAUCUCAAAUCUUGCGGCUGCACGGAGGACCUUGACCAUCUUGUGGUCGACGCGCCGGGUUCAGCGAUCAGGGAGCUCCUCGUGGAGGAAUGCGCAUUUUCAGAGAUCACGCUGCACGCCCUCCCAAUGCUCGCCCGCCUGGCAUGCCUUGGCAGAACCAUGAUGCUCAGGUUCGGCUCCGUUCCUAGCCUCACGCACCUAAACCUCACAUUCUGGGAAGACGGCGAACCCCUGGACUUCCUCCGCAAAGCCCCAGCAGCCACCACCAACCUCGUCCUCCGGUUCACCGGGCCGAGUAGAUGGGUCGUGCCGAUGCACCUGGCCACACCGUUCCGCGGCCUCAAGCGGCUCCUCGUCGCCGACCUGCCUUCGAAUUGGGAUGUCUCGUGGCCGCGCAUCCUCCUCUUCUUCGCGCGGUCGCUCGAGGUCCUGCACAUCCACGUGGCUCACUCCGACGAUGAACCAGGAGAGGAUAUAUGGUGGUUGAACAUACGGAAGAAGCUGCGGCGGCACCGGCACAUGAAGGAGCUGGUCAUCAUUGGAUUCGCGCCGACACCGCGCCAGAAACUGUUGGUGAAGGAUGCUUUGAGCAUGUGCAGAUCUUUGCAACGCCUUGUUCUGCUCAGGGAUGGCCAUGUGCGAUACAAUGGACUCUGGGAGUGGGAGAUGGUCGGGCAGCCAGACUGUCCGUGGAGCGCUGAUGAUACAAUGGCGGUGACAAAACUGAUCAACUCUGCAUCCAAGCCUCUCCUUGAUGUGAUCUUGGGAUGA
rnacentral:rRNA from 1 species